ACUGAGGAGUCCAAUAAUAGGACGAAACGACCGUCC
rnacentral:hammerhead_ribozyme from 1 species